CCACCAAGCCUACGACGGGUAGCUGGCCUGAGAGGGUGGUCGGCCACAAGGGCACUGAGACACGGGCCCUACUCCUACGGGAGGCAGCAGUGGGGAAUCUUGGACAAUGGGCGAAAGCCUGAUCCAGCGACGCCGCGUGGGGGACGAAGCCCUUCGGGGUGUAAACCCCUGUUGCGAGGGAGGAAUAAGACCUGGAGGAAAUGCCAGGUCGAUGACUGUACCUCGCGAGAAAGCCCCGGCUAACUACGUGCCAGCAGCCGCGGUAAUACGUAGGGGGCGAGCGUUACCCGGAUUCACUGGGCGUAAAGGGGGUGUAGGCGGCUCGGUAAGUCGGGUGUGAAAUCCCACGGCUCAACCGUGGAAUUGCGCCCGAAACUGCCGAGCUUGGGGCCGGUAGAGGGAGACGGAACUGCCGGUGUAGGGGUGAAAUCCGUAGAUAUCGGCAGGAACGCCGGUGGGGAAGCCGGUCUCCUGGGCCGCGCCCGACGCUGAGGCCCGAAAGCUAGGGGAGCAAACCGGAUUAGAUACCCGGGUAGUCCUAGCCGUAAACGAUGCCCACUAGGUGUGGGGGAGUAUUUCCUCCGUGCUGUAGCUAACGCGUUAAGUGGGCCGCCUGGGGAGUACGCCCGCAAGGGUGAAACUCAAAGGAAUUGGCGGGACCCCGCACAAGCGGUGGAGCGCGUGGUUUAAUUGGAUGCUGAGCCAAGAACCUUACCAGGGCUUGACAUGCAGGUGGUACCGACCCGAAAGGGGAGGGACCCCAUCCUUUUGGGUGGGGAGCCUGCACAGGUGGUGCACGGCCGUCGUCAGCUCGUGCCGUGAGGUGUUGGGUUAAGUCCCGCAACGAGCGCAACCCCUGCCCUUAGUUGCCAUCGGUUCGGCCGGGCACUCUAAGGGGACUGCCGGCGACGAGCCGGAGGAAGGAGGGGACGACG
rnacentral:rRNA from 1 species